AUUGAACGCUAGCGGGAUGCCUUACACAUGCAAGUCGAACGGCAGCACGGACUUCGGUCUGGUGGCGAGUGGCGAACGGGUGAGUAAUGUAUCGGAACGUGCCCAGUAGCGGGGGAUAACUACGCGAAAGCGUAGCUAAUACCGCAUACGCCCUACGGGGGAAAGCCGGGGAUCGCAAGACCUUGCACUAUUGGAGCGGCCGAUGUCGGAUUAGCUAGUUGGUGGGGUAACGGCUCACCAAGGCGACGAUCCGUAGCUGGUUUGAGAGGACGACCAGCCACACUGGGACUGAGACACGGCCCAGACUCCUACGGGAGGCAGCAGUGGGGAAUUUUGGACAAUGGGGGAAACCCUGAUCCAGCCAUCCCGCGUGUGCGAUGAAGGCCUUCGGGUUGUAAAGCACUUUUGGCAGGAAAGAAACGUCGCGGGUUAAUACCUCGCGAAACUGACGGUACCUGCAGAAUAAGCACCGGCUAACUACGUG
rnacentral:rRNA from 1 species